GGGUACUUUGUGCCCAUCCUGCUGCCAGCACCUUUGGCCCGGGGCUGUCCCUGCCCCAGCCCAUUUGUGGGCCAUUGUGGAAGGGGAUAUUGAAGGUCAGGAGAACUCUUUGCUGUGCUCCCUUCUCACAUAUAUCCUCUGUCCCUCCUCAGCUCUUCUCCUCCUCCUCCGAGUCCUUCCGCAGCGUGGGCAGCAGCCUCCUGCUGCUGCUGGCCCUGCUGCGGGGCAGCGCCAGCCUGCGGCCCUGCCUGCCCGAGGCCUCGGGGCUCUACUGCCUCUUCUGCACCUCCUACGUGGUGCUGGAGGCGUGGGUCGUGCUGCGGCUGCUGGCGGUGGUGCUGAUCCACAGCUACCGCGAGAUGCACUUCGAGCUCUACCGGCCCGCCUUCGAGCCCCAGGACUACGAGAUGGUCGAGCUGUUCAUGCGCAGGCUCAAGAUGUGGAUGGGCUUCAGCAAAGCCAAGGAGUUCCGGCACAAGGUGAGGUUCGAGGGGAUGGAGCCGCUGCCCUCGCGAGACUCCAGCGACUCCAAGUCCUUCCGUGGCCCCACUCCCAGCGCGGCCUCCGACAGCUCCAGGACCUCCACGUCCUCCAGCCAGCUGGACGGGCUGAGCCUGGUGCUGAGUGCCCGCGACAGCCUGGAGGUGGACGCCGACAUCCAGCGGCUCCUCUCGCUCUUCGAGAUGCUGCUGGCGCAGUUCGACCGCGUCAACCAGGUGACGGAGGACGUGUCCCGCAUCGAGCACCUGCUCGAGUUCUCCCGCAGCCGCCGCGCCCGCAGGAGGCACCGCGGGCCCGAGGGGGGCCCGGAGCAGGGCCCGUCCCCGGAGGCGCCGGGCACGGAGCCGCUGUCGCCGCGCUGUGCCGGGGCCGUGCCCGUGCCCGUACCCGUGCCCGGGCGGCUGCUGCGGGCCAGCCGCGGGGUCAGCGCGGCCGCGGGCACGGCGGGCAAGCCCUGCGCGACCAGGAGGAAACGGCCCCUGCGGGCCAAGAACCGGGUGCACCCCACGGUGAAGUAACGGGGUGCGGGAGCGAUGCCCUGGCAGGGCUUUGUUGGGUGGGCUGUGCCCGCCCGGAGCUGCCGCGGCGGCUGGGCCGGCCGGGCACAGGGGGCUCCGGCCACGCCGCUGGCACGGCCACGCCGCUGGCACGGCCACCGGCCCUCCAGAAACGGCCCCAGGGAGCGUUCCAGGGUAGAGAUGGGCGGGGAGAAGGCCGAGCCUUCCCCCGGGGCGUGAGCAGGUGCAGGAGGUCCCUGCUGGCUCACAGGGUGUUCAACGGCCCCGGCUGCAACCGGCCACAGGUGGGACUGGGGUGGGCACAGGGGGACGGGACAAAGCUCCCCCCCUUCCCUGCUGGCUGUGCCGGGUGGGAAAGGGAAAGGAGAGCCCCAGGCCUUGAAGGUUUGAACCAAGUCUUGGAUUUUUGUCGACCAGACGCACUGUGGAGGAAAGCGACAGCUUUCGAGAAGGUAUUUAACCCUCCUUGUUUUUUAAGCGUAAAUAGAUAUAUAUAGAAAUGCUAUCUACACCCAGAGCAGUUAAUUUCCAGUAUUGGCUACUUUUAUCCUCCAGAAAUUGGUACUAUUAUUUGUAUUUAAAGAAAUCCAAUAUUUAAAACAAAGGACAUUGCAGCGAGCUGGGGACGAGAGACCCCUGGGCUGCCUCAGCCACCUCCCAGCAUGGGGUUCCCAAACUCCCAGUGAGGGGUUCCCAAACUCCCAUUGUGGGGUUCCCAACUCCCAGUGUGGGGUUCCCAACUCCCAGUGUGGGGUUCCCGACGUGCUGGUGUCACUGCGGUCCCCACCUGCCCUGUCCCCCCACUGUGGCCCCGGGGUGCAGGCGCCGCUGGCUGCUUGGCUUCUCUAACCCAAGGAAUGUAUUGCCCUAAGUAUAUGUAUUUUUUUUUUGGUUUACUUGUUCCUAUGUACUGCCCAGCACUUUAAACAAGGCUUUCCUCGGCUACCAGUGACACGUGCGAGCUAAGAAUGGGAUAAUAUAUCACAAAAGCAGUAUUUUGUUUGUUUAAAUCAUAAACUGAAAUGGGCAGGGAGGAGGGGAGUGCAGCCCCAGCUCGGGCAGCAGUGCCAGCGCCUUCCCUGAGCACAAAGGAGGCAGGUGAAGCCCUGAGGGAGCUCUUUUUGGGCUCCCUCCAGCCCUGCCAGCUGGGAUUCACCAUGUGCUGGGCUACAGCUGCUGGGCUACAGCUGGCCUGUGCCAUGGGGCCCCCCAGAUCACAGCCUGGGGGUGCCUGAAGCCCCCCAGGGGCUGCCUUCCCCUCCUCAGCCCCAUUUCACCUUAUGGCUAUUGUAAGUAAUUUAUACGGGGUUUGUUUGGUUUUUAAAUGUAUAUAUUUUUGUAUGUUUGCUAUAUUUUCAUAGCAUCGGUUCCGUGUUUGAAACCUGUAGAUAGGAGACAGAACACUAUUGUCAGAGUUAUUUAAAGGAUGUAUUAAGUGCUUCUUCCUGGGAAUGUCCCGUGUAUAUAAGGAUUGGGUGUCUGUGUGUGUGUGGUGCGUGUGCUCUCCUGGGCUGGCUCGGGGCAGUGGCCACAGGUGGGUGGGGAAGAGCCCCCAGUGGGCUCCUCUGUGUGUUCCAGAACCUGCUCCAUGCUUUGGACAGGUGAGAGGCUGGAAGGAAGGCUGAGGUGGGCAGAGCUGCAGGGCAGGGGCCUCAGGUUCAGCUGCCUCUGGUGCUGGUGGGCCUGGAAGCACCUUCCCAGGGCAGGGAGGCUUAUCCAGGUGGAGAGAGGAGGCUCCUAAAGCACUUCCAUUGCUCCAUCCCCUCCUGAGCCUCCCCUCCAACCCCAGCUGUGUUGGAUACGUGAGAAGAUUUCAUUCCAGUGUCCCUGUGCUCCCCUGGCCGUGUGAGUCAGGCUGGCUGCAGGGGACACUGGCUGCUCUGGGGUCCCUUUGGGACAGGUCUCAGUUACCUGUGGAAAGCUCAGGUGCUGUGCAGGACAGAUGUUGUGGAAAGGUUGCAGAGGGAUGAGGGCAGGAGAAGACAAAUGAGGUGGUGCUUGGUCAGCAUGGAGGUGUUGGAGAGCAGGGAGCACAGAGACGUGGAGUGCAGAGAGGGGAGAAAUGCAAUCCUGGUAACCAGGACAAGGAGAGAGCGGAGCCCAGAGGGCAGGAAUGGGACAGGGAGGUGCCUGCAGCAGGCAGGAGGCUGAGCUCAGGGCUGGGACCAGGUGCUGGUCAGCUUUGUGCUCAGAAAAAACCCUGGUUUUGAAGCCAGAGCUAGAACACUAUUUGCCUUGGGUUUUUUGUUUUUUUAACUUCCCAGGCAGCACAGCACCAGGCUCAUGUCCAUGACUCCUUUUUGGUGACAGGGCCAGUGCCAUGUUCCCAGAGCAAGGCAGUAAGAGGAGCAGUGGUGAGGUGUCCCAGAGAGCUGGGAUGCCCCCAGGGCUGGAGUCCCUUCAGCUCCAAGGCUUCUUUCCCCACAGCUCUGCCCUGGCACAGCCCGUCUCACCUGUAUGGAGCACCAGGGGUGUAGAUCCAGCCACCCCAAGGGCUCUGUGGGAAUAUUCAGUGAUUGAAAGGUCCCAAAUAAACCAAGCAGGUCUUGGAAGUGUCUUGAAGAG
ensembl:lncRNA